GACGUAGGGGGCGAGCGUUGUCCGGAGUUACUGGGCGUAAAGGGCCCGCAGGCGGGAGGGUGCGUUUGGUGUGACAGCUCGUGGCUUCACUACAAGAGGAUACCAAAGACGGCCGUUCUUGAGGGCCAGAGAGGGACCUGGAAGUCCGGGUGGAGCGGUGAAAUGCGUAGAGAUCCGGAGGAACACCGAAAGCGAAGGCAGGGUCCUGGCUGGUACCUGACGCUCGUGGGCGAAAGCUAGGGGAGCAAACGGG
rnacentral:rRNA from 1 species